UUUGCACGAGCUAAAUGUUAAAUUAAUUGGAAUGGUUAUACGCCCAAAAAACGCAGUUUGUACAUCCGCUAGAGCGAUACUAUAGGCAGGGUGCGCACUCUAGAGAGGGGUUUCAGAUCCACAGCAUUUCAGCUGAUGAACGAAGUUUCGAUCAGAUGGUAAUCUACUGGAGCAAGCUCGUAGAAUGGAAAGUUCCUUAUCUAAAAAUUUAGCUAACUAUGGCACGUCCGUGGGGCGCUUCACCUUAUUUCGAAAGAACAAGCCCUAGUAGCGAAACGACAUCAUGCCGGUCUACCGUCUUCAUCAUAAAUCGCCUGCAGUACACGUUGUCGCCGGCAGGCGUUCGUAGCUUGUCCGUCCGGUCUCGUCAGCGGAUCAACACCCAGCAAACUAUAACGUCUGCUAUUUAGCCCGCAAAUGAAAAAAAGUCACCUGCCAUCGUCGCCCUUCAAGCCGAAUCAACGACCUAUAACUUCGCCAAUUAUUCGUUCAGCAAAACCGAGUGCCAACGGACAAGGACGCUUAUCUGUUUUCCAAACAUCACAGGCCAUCACUCAAGGUCAGCUCGUUUCUAGGGUGCCACUCUCUGCUAGCGCAAGACACUCCGAUAGCGUCAGCUUUCAGGUUUCACCCCAGAACAGUGGCUAUAUAAAUUCGUCAGCGAUGGAUAAUUUUGGCCCGGCCCCGGACAUCUGUUAUGAACGAAGUAGUCAUAGCUACUAUACUUUGGAGCCGAUUGUGUUAUUCCUAGUAAUUUUCGACUUCAGUGAACGAUGGAAUCCUCAGUGGUAGGCUCUGAGCUGACAACGAUUCCCUGCGAUACUGACGGGUACAGAUAUGCGCUAGUUAGCUCGUGGGUACCGCUAUAUCAUUGGUCGAGCUCAAUUCCAACAGAAGCUGUCUACUCAUUAAAAUUCAUAUAGAUUUGAA